UACGUAGGGGGCAAGCGUUGUCCGGAAUCAUUGGGCGUAAAGCGCGUGUAGGCGGUCCGGUAAGUCGGCUGUGAAAGUCCAGGGCUCAACCCUGGGAUGCCGGUCGAUACUGCCGGACUAGAGUUCGGAAGAGGCGAGUGGAAUUCCCGGUGUAGCGGUGAAAUGCGCAGAUAUCGGGAGGAACACCAAUGGCGAAGGCAGCUCGCUGGGACGUUACUGACGCUGAGGAGCGAAAGCGCGGGGAGCGAACAGG
rnacentral:rRNA from 1 species